UACGUAGGGGGCCAGCGCUGCUCGGAAUUACUGGGCGUAAAGGGUUCGUAGGCGGUGCGGCAAGUCGGGAGUGAAAUCUCUGGGCUCAACUCAGAGGCUGCUUCCGAAACUGCCGCGCUAGAGUGCGGGAGGGGCCAGUGGAAUUGCAGGUGUAGCGGUGAAAUGCGUAGAUAUCGUAAGGAAGACCGGUGGCGAAGGCGGGUCUCUGGGCCGAAAUUGACGCUGAGGAGCGAAAGCGUGGGGAGCAAACAGG
rnacentral:rRNA from 1 species